rnacentral:rRNA from 1 species
UACAUAUGGGGCAAGCGUUGUUCGGAAUUACUGGGCAUAAAGGGUGCGUAGGUGGUCUAUUAAGUCAGGGGUGAAAUCCCCGCGGCCCAACCGUGGAACGGCCUUUGAUACUGAUGGACUUGAGUGCGUGAGGGGUAGGGGGAACGAGCAGUGUAGCGGUGAAAUGCGUAGAUAUUGCUCGGAAGGCCAGAGCCGAAGGGGCCCUACUGGUACGUAACUGACACUGAGGCACGAAAGCGUGGGGAGCAAACAGG